rnacentral:siRNA from 1 species
GUUGUUAGGGUUUUGAUUCAACA